GAUAGACAUACAUUCAGAAAAAACUACCAAAGAGGGUGCCCUUCUUGUAGAAUCUAGAAGCAUGUAACUGAAGGUCUGACCUUGGGUCAAAUGUGCAGAUGAUGUAAUGAGCCAAAAGCCAGACGUUAAGUUGGUUAGUAGAUGGAUAGAAGAUCUUAUACACAGGGAGUACUUAGGGAGGGAGAAAGAUAAUCCUAGUGGAAUUAGAUACAUCGCUUGAAUUGUUAUCCAAAAUGGGCUCCACAUAAGUGUACAUAGUGAUUUUAUCAAGUGUUUUCAUCUCAAGAUUUAGGAUUUUGUGGAGAGCUCCAGGAUUUCCAUUGUAGCAGCUGCGGCAUUUCUUACUAAAUUAUACAAAGACUCUUGGUAUUAUUAGGAGUUAUGGAGGGAGUCAUGGUUCUCAAUCAUUUUCCAUGAAGUGUUGUUUGUUGAUAAUGUGGGUUUGAAGCUCAUCAUGUUGUUUGCAUGAUACCCAAUCUGUCCAUCACAUUCGCCACUACAUUUUCUUCUUAUAUCCCAAAACCA